rnacentral:rRNA from 1 species
AUUGAACGCUGGCGGCAGGCCUAACACAUGCAAGUCGAGCGGAUGAAGGGAGCUUGCUCCUGGAUUCAGCGGCGGACGGGUGAGUAAUGCCUAGGAAUCUGCCUGGUAGUGGGGGAUAACGUCCGGAAACGGGCGCUAAUACCGCAUACGUCCUGAGGGAGAAAGUGGGGGAUCUUCGGACCUCACGCUAUCAGAUGAGCCUAGGUCGGAUUAGCUAGUUGGUGGGGUAAAGGCCUACCGAGGCGACGAUCCGUAACUGGUCUGAGAGGAUGAUCAGUCACACUGGAACUGAGACACGGUCCAGACUCCUACGGGAGGCAGCAGUGGGGAAUAUUGGACAAUGGGCGAAAGCCUGAUCCAGCCAUGCCGCAUGUGUGAAGAAGGUCUUCGGAUUGUAAAGCACUUUAAGUUGGGAGGAAGGGCAGUAAGUUAAUACCUUGCUGUUUUGACGUUACCAACAGAAUAAGCACCGGCUAACUUCGUG